rnacentral:rRNA from 1 species
GACGAACGCUGGCGGCGUGCUUAACACAUGCAAGUCGAACGGAAAGGCCUGCUUUCCCUUGUGGAUUGCGGGUACUCGAGUGGCGAACGGGUGAGUAACACGUGAGUGAUCUGCCCCCAACUUGGGUAUAAGCCUGGGAAACUGGGUCUAAUUCCCGAUAGGACUGCAGGGUGGUGCCUGUGGUGGAAAACGAUUUUCUAGUGGUUGGGGAUGAGCUCGCGGCCUAUCAGCUUGUUGGUGGGGUAAUGGCCUACCAAGGCGGCGACGGGUAGCCGGCCUGAGAGGGUGGACGGCCAGAGUGGGACUGAGAGACGGCACAGACUCCUACGGGAGGCAGCAGUGGGGAAUAGUGCACAAUGGGCGGAAGCCUGAUGCAGCGACGCCGCGUGGGGGAUGACGGCCUUCGGGUUGUAAACUCCUUUCGACCGCGAGGAAGCCACCUGGUUGGAAGGGUGGUGACGGUAGUGGUAGAAGAAGCACCGGCUAACUACGUG